UACAGAGGGGGCAAGCGUUAUUCGGAAUUAUUGGGCGUAAAGGGCGCGUAGGCGGCCUUUCAAGUGACGGGUGAAAUCCCCCGGCUUAACCGGGGAACUGCCUGUCAGACUGGGAGGCUUGAGACCGGGAGAGGUGAGUGGAAUUCCACGUGUAGCAGUGAAAUGCGUAGAGAUGUGGAGGAACACCGAUGGCGAAGGCAACCCCCUGGGACGAUACUGACACUGAGGCACGAAAGCGUGGGGAGCAAACAGG
rnacentral:rRNA from 1 species